CCUGCACGUGAGGAGCUGCACCCCUGGAGGGGUCACUGAGCGCAGGAAAGGCAGGCUCUGAGAGCCCAGGAAGGGGCUUGUGAAACCGGAGAGGGACCUCCACCCCUUUGGGGUCCAGUGUCAGUCACAGCUGGCUGAGCCGCUCUUCCUGCUCUGGUCCAAUGCCAGGAGCAGCCCACCCCCCUCUCAGCGCGAGCACCACCACCACCCAGCACUCGCUAACGUGGCUUUGUCCAGCUUUCCUCCAGUUUUGCGUUGGAAAGGGCCCUGGGUUAGACCCAAACCAAAACCCACACCUGCUGUCGACAAAAGGAGCCCUGGUGACGUAAUGGUAACUCUGGGCUGUGAUCAGAAAGGUCUGCAGUUCAAAACCACCAGCGGCUCCGAGGGAGGCUUUCUACUCCCUCAAAGAGUUAAGUCUCAGAAACUCACGAGGCAGUUCUAACCUGCCCUGCAGGGUAGCUCUAGAGUGUGCAUCAACUUGGUGGCAGUGGGUCUGGUUUUUGUUUGGGCUGCGGAGAGAUUGAUUGCGCCUCACGCUGACCGUCUAGGACAAACAGACCUGCCCCGCAGGGUUUCCACGGCUGUGAGUCUCCACAAGCAGACCCCCCGUCUUUCUCCUGGAAGCAGCAGGUGGCCCCCAACCACUGGCCUUUUAGUUAGCAGACCAGUGUGUUUGACCACUGCACCGCCAGGGCUCCUCUUAGGUUUGGAAAGACUCAUGCAGCUCAUUCUCUCCCAAGGAGCGGCUAGGAGCAGCAGGCAGCUUCAAACUGCUCACCUGGCAGUCAGCAACCCAACUUGUCACCAACCACUGUACCAACAGGGCUUGGGCAAGACUGAUCCCAUCGAGUCUGAGUGCGGUUUAAAGCAGGCAGCAGCAGGAGUCCCUGGGUGGCGUGAAAGGACAAGCUGCUGGCCUGGUGAUGUUUUCUGAAAGGUCGCCACUUUGGAACAGCUUGCGGUCCUCGCCCGGGUCGCCAUGAGUCGGAUCGACUUGGCAGCGCUAACUACAGCCUAAACCAGCAGCACACUGCCCGGCCCUGCUGACCGCUCCCCGCCUCUGGGAAGACUAUGUUUCGCCCCAUUAUUCAUUAGAGACCAGAUUGGCUCCUUGUCUUACAGUUUGUUUUAAGGACCUGUCCAGGUGCUUUUCAAACGACAUUCUCACCCGGCAGAUCACCCGGGGCCCGGAUUAAACUGAAUUCCUGGGUCCCGCCGCGCUCAGGUGUUCUAGGGCUCUGCCUUGCAUGCGUCCGUUCAGGUGGCUCUUCCACCUGGGGAACUUUGGCUGAGGAUCUGCAAUUGGUGAACAGUGAGAUUGCAGUUUGGGCUCAAGACAGAAGCGGGGGCUUCCAAGUCAAAGCAGCACACCAUUUGCUUCCCCACACAUCCCCUGAAGACGCACACGAAGUGCUUACACCCAUUUUACAGAUGGGCACACUGGACCCGUGGGUUACGAAGUGGCACAGUGGAGAUUCAAACGAAAGGCCAACCAAAUCUACAGGCCUCGCUGCCACCUAGUGAAACGGGUGUGGACCGGUCCUGUGUCUUCCUGCUCCAACCUUGUGGGAAUGUUGAAACUAAAGCACCAACGGUGAUGCCAUCUCACCGAGACUUCCGCAGGCUGCCCCUCACCUUGUACUUCCCUGUCUGCAUGUCUAGUGAGUGGGCUGGGGCUGCAGCCACCAGCCUCCCCUCUAGCUGCUUUAUCCAAGACCAGUUUGUUCGU